GAUAUGAGGGUGAUCUGGCUGCGACAUCUGUCACCCCAUUGGUCACCAGGGUUGAUUCGGCUCAUUUGGCUGUCUAGGUGGGUGUCCUCUUCCUCCCUCAACCAUUCACGUGGGUCUCUCCCAAAGCUAUGCACUUGGUUGAAGAGGAUGACCACCCCCGAUAGAGGAGGACUGUUCCUUGGUCAAGGAUAGAUGAGUAGCUGUGUUACCCUGCUAGAACCUCCAAACAAGCUCUCAAGGUUAAUUUGCCUACUGUUUGAAAUUCUGGAAAUUUUAGAUUUUCACCAUUAAGGACAAUACGCAACUACAAUAUUUUCCCUCAAU
rnacentral:snRNA from 1 species